CGGGAAGCCAUAUGGCGACAUAGAGCGGAACCCGAAAACCUAGUCUCAGUUCGGAUUGGAGUCUGCAACCCGACUCCAUGAAGCUGGAUUCGCUAGUAAUCGCGCAUCAGCCACGGCGCGGUGAAUACGUUCCCGGGCCUUGUACACACCGCCCGUCAAGCCAUGGAAGCCGGGAGUGCCUGAAGUGCGUGAGCGCAAGCAGCGCCCUAAGGUAAAACCGGUGACUGGGGCUAAGUCGUAACAAGGUACC
rnacentral:rRNA from 1 species